AGUGAACGCUGGCGGUAGGCCUAACACAUGCAAGUCGAACGGCAGCACAGGAGAGCUUGCUCUCUGGGUGGCGAGUGGCGGACGGGUGAGGAAUGCAUCGGAAUCUACUCUUUCGUGGGGGAUAACGUAGGGAAACUUACGCUAAUACCGCAUACGACCUACGGGUGAAAGCCGGGGACCUUCGGACCUGGCGCGAAUGAAUGAGCCGAUGCCCGAUUAGCUAGUUGGCGGGGUAAGAGCCCACCAAGGCGACGAACGGUAGCUGGUCUGAGGGAAUGAUCAGCCACACUGGAACUGAAACACGGUCCAGACUCCUACGGGAGGCAGCAGUGGGGAAUAUUGGACAAUGGGCGCAAGCCUGAUCCAGCCAUACCGCGUGGGUGAAGAAGGCCUUCGGGUUGUAAAGCCCUUUUGUUGGGAAAGAAAAGCAAUCGGUUAAUACCCGGUUGGGAUGACGGUACCCAAAGAAUAAGCACCGGCUAACUUCGUGCCAGCCGCCGCCGUAAGAC
rnacentral:rRNA from 1 species